UACGUAGGGUGCAAGCGUUGUCCGGAAUUAUUGGGCGUAAAGAGCUCGUAGGCGGUUUGUUGCGUCGGCUGUGAAAUCCCGAGGCUCAACCUCGGGUCUGCAGUCGAUACGGGCAGACUUGAGUACUGCAGGGGAGACUGGAAUUCCUGGUGUAGCGGUGGAAUGCGCAGAUAUCAGGAGGAACACCGGUGGCGAAGGCGGGUCUCUGGGCAGUAACUGACGCUGAGGAGCGAAAGCGUGGGGAGCGAACAGG
rnacentral:rRNA from 1 species